CGCGUAGGCGGCCCGCUAAGUCGAACGUGAAAUCCCCGGGCUCAACCCGGGAACUGCGUCCGAUACUGGCGGGCUUGAAUCCGGGAGAGGGAUGCGGAAUUCCAGGUGUAGCGGUGAAAUGCGUAGAUAUCUGGAGGAACACCGGUGGCGAAGGCGGCAUCCUGGACCGGCAUUGACGCUGAGGCGCGAAAGCCAGGGGAGCAAACG
rnacentral:rRNA from 1 species